AGUUGGCUCUGGCACUUUGGUCCAUGUGAGACACUGAAUGGUGUGGUACAGCUCUGCAUCUCUUUACUGGAAAAAGCAUCAAAUCUUUUAAAGAAGGAGAAGUGGACAAGUGAGGAAGUUGCCCUUAGCAACCAAUAAGCUUGUAGCUUGCAUUUAUCAAGUACAUUCAGUAAAAAAAUAGAAGCUGAUUGGGCAACUUCUCCACUCUUUAGAAGGAUCCCUGAAGAAAAUGAUGUCCCCCCAGAAACUGGACCUGAUUAUCAGAAAGCAACAAGCAGGGCACCAUGACGCCACACCUUCAGCCUCUAAAUCAUAUGGACAGUGAAUGGGUUGCAGCUAGUGGACAAAAGCAAGGUAACUGAAGAUGGCUUUGACAAAAUAGGAGAGAAUUUAUGUCAAACAUCGUGUGCUGCAUUGUAGGCACGAAGGAUGAAAAAACCAUUGUUGAGGUCAAGUCUAAUUAAUGAAGGA